GCCCUCCUGGCUCUCAGGCCUUCGGCCUCAGACUGAAAACUACACCACAGGCUCCUCUGGUUCUCAGGCCUUCCUACUCAGACUGAAUCACAUCCUGGCUUUCCUGGUUCUCCAACUUGCAGACGGCAUAUCGUGGGAUUUCUCAGCCUCCAGAAUUGUGUGAGCCAAUUCCCAUAACACAUCCCUUCUUAUAGACCUAUAUAUUUCCUUUGGUUCUGUUCCUCCCGUGAAUCCUGACUAAUACAUCAGCUUUCCUCAGGAAUGUCAAAACUAGCUUUACUUUGAUGGUGUACAUUUGCAACUAAAAUUUCUACAUUAAGACAUAGACAUUCCUGCCAUCAACAAUUUUUAUUUUUACUUAAGGCAGAAAUAGAGAAAAUUCCUACUCCAAUUAGCUUAAAACUCAAUAGCAAUAAAACAUUGGCCUCUCUGCCAAAAAAAAGAUUAUUUCCCUGAAGAUUGAAGGAAUGGUCUCCAUUUUACCUCCCUUCUGCUUUAGAUCCUCCUGCUAAGUCACUCUCAUCUUUUUCUCUCGCUUUUCCCCUUCUAAACAAAUAUUUACGUAUUUUUAUUUGUAUAGUGUAUUCCAUUUUAAAAUAAAGCACUAAAGUUUGUUUAAUUUUACUAGUAAUGAUAUUUUUUAAGGUUGGAGUUAGGGGAAGGUGCCUCUGUGUGUCUGAGGCUAUGGCCGCUGAAGUGGGCAGGGACAAUCCUGCUAUGUUGAUUGUUGGCAGUGAUAUAGCCCAUUGAUCUCCCUGGCUGAAUUAAGAACACUAGGUCUGACAAAAUGUUGAGCAUUUAAGACUCUAGGCAAAAUCAAAGAAUAGGAAAGAUAUGCAUGAGGCUCAAGUCUCCUCUUUUUCUAUUUUUCUUCCCUGUUACCCCUUUCUCUGUAGGGACCUAUGGUCUUCCUGGUCUUUUCCUAGAUCAAAAGCUCUUUUGAAGAACAAAAACAGUACAUUUCCUUUCCAUCUCUAGAUUCCUCUUUAAUCUACAAUAAUCUACCUCUCUUUACUGAAAAAUGAAAAAUAAAAACCCAUUUUCUUUUCAGAUUUAAUUAAUAUCCUCCCUGAGAAUGUUAAAUGUAACCCUUGGUUUCCUAAGGAAUCCUUAUUUAUUUAU
rnacentral:lncRNA from 1 species